rnacentral:rRNA from 1 species
AGGACGAACGCUGGCGGCGUGCUUAACACAUGCAAGUGGAGCGACGAACCAGGGCUUGCCCUGGGGCAGAGCCGCGAACGGGUGAGUAACACGUGGGUUACCUGCCUCGAUGACCGGGACAACCCGAGGAAAACUCGGGCUAAUACCGGAUGUGCCCGCAAGGGGAAAGGAAGCUUCGGCCUCCGCAUCGAGAUGGGCCCGCGGCCCAUUAGCUUGUUGGUGAGGUAACGGCUCACCAAGGCUUCGAUGGGUAGCUGGUCUGAGAGGACGAUCAGCCACACUGGGACUGAGACACGGCCCAGACUCCUACGGGAGGCAGCAGUGGGGAAUCUUGCGCAAUGCGCGAAAGCGUGACGCAGCAACGCCGCGUGGGGGAAGAAGGCUUUCGGGUUGUAAACCCCUUUCAGUUGGGACGAAGCUUCUCCGGUGAAUAGCCGGACGGAGUGACGGUACCUUCACAAGAAGCACCGGCUAACUACGUGCCAGCAGCCGC